CAAUCGCCAUCAAUGUUUCAGAACUUGUUCUCUCUAUCUCCCGCAGUAUCCGAAUCCGCUCGUCCUCAUCAGUCGUAGAUAAUGCACGACGAACGUCCAACACAAGAUCCGACAUAGAAUCAGUCUACAAAAUAAAAAUAAAACAGUCAGUAUAAAACAGUCAGUAUAGUGUAAAAUAUAAAACAAAAAUAUAACACAAAUAAUAUAAAGUAAUUUUUGUAAUCUUACCAAAAGACGCACAGUAGAACUCUCGCCCUCGUAUUCAGAAACUGCAUACUGAGACUGUCCAAUGACUCGCACCGUAAUGCUAAAAAA
rnacentral:lncRNA from 1 species